UACGUAGGGUGCGAGCGUUAAUCGGAAUUACUGGGCGUAAAGCGUGCGCAGGCGGUUCGUUGUGUCUGUCGUGAAAGCCCCGGGCUUAACCUGGGAAUGGCGAUGGAAACUGGCGAGCUUGAGUGUGGCAGAGGGGGGUGGAACUCCUGGUGUAGCAGUGAAAUGCGUAGAGAUCAGGAAGAACACCGAUGGCGAAGGCAGCCCCCUGGGCUAACACUGACGCUCAGGCACGAAAGCGUGGGGAGCAAACAGG
rnacentral:rRNA from 1 species